GACGGCCACACGAAAUGCAGAACGGGAAAUUGAAAUUUUAAAGAAAAUUGAUCAUCCGUGCCUGAUCAAGACAGAAGAUUUCUACCAGACAGAAGAUUCUUACUACAUUGUUUUGGAGUAUGUUGAAGGAGGAGAGCUGUUUGGCAGGAUCAAGGCCAAGAAACAGCUGGAGGAAGAAAUCGCCAAACUCUACUUUUAUCAAAUGCUCAGGGCU